rnacentral:rRNA from 1 species
AUUGAACGCUGGCGGCAGGCUUAACACAUGCAAGUCGAGCGGAGAGAGGUAGCUUGCUACUGAUCUUAGCGGCGGACGGGUGAGUAAUGCUUAGGAAUCUGCCUAUUAGUGGGGGACAACAUUUCGAAAGGAAUGCUAAUACCGCAUACGUCCUACGGGAGAAAGCAGGGGAUCUUCGGACCUUGCGCUAAUAGAUGAGCCUAAGUCGGAUUAGCUAGUUGGUGGGGUAAAGGCCUACCAAGGCGACGAUCUGUAGCGGGUCUGAGAGGAUGAUCCGCCACACUGGGACUGAGACACGGCCCAGACUCCUACGGGAGGCAGCAGUGGGGAAUAUUGGACAAUGGGCGGAAGCCUGAUCCAGCCAUGCCGCGUGUGUGAAGAAGGCCUUAUGGUUGUAAAGCACUUUAAGCGAGGAGGAGGCUACUUUAGUUAAUACCUAGAGAUAGUGGACGUUACUCGCAGAAUAAGCACCGGCUAACUCUGUGCCAGCAGCCGCGGUAAGAC